CGAAGCUGAGAAUUUAAGCCCCAGUAAACGGCGGUGGUAACUAUAACCAUCCUAAGGUAGCGAAAUUCCUUGUCGGGUAAGUUCCGACCUGCACGAAUGGCGUAACGACUUCCCUGCUGUCUCAACCACAGGCCCGGUGAAAUUGCAGUACGAGUAAAGAUGCUCGUUACGCGCGGCAGGACGAAAAGACCCCGGGACCUUCACUAUAGCUUGGUAUUGGUGUUUGAUUCGGUUUGUGUAGGAUAGGUGGGAGACUGUGAUCAUAUGACGCUAGUUGUGUGUGAGUCGUUGGUGAAAUACCACUCUGAUCGGAUUGGAUGUCUUAACCUUGGCCCAUGAUCUGGGUUGGGGACAGUGCCUGGUGGGUAGUUUAACUGGGGCGGUUGCCUCCUAAAAUGUAACGGAGGCGCCCAAAGGUUUCCUCAGCUUGGUUGGUAAUCAGGUGGUGAGUGUAAGUGCACAAGGGAGCUUGACUGUGACACUGACAGGUGGAGCAGGGACGAAAGUCGGGACUAGUGAUCCGGCACCUACUUGUGGUUGUGGUGUCGCUCAACGGAUAAAAGGUACCCCGGGGAUAACAGGCUGAUCUUCCCCAAGAGUCCAUAUCGACGGGAUGGUUUGGCACCUCGAUGUCGGCUCGUCGCAUCCUGGGGCUGGAGUAGGUCCCAAGGGUUGGGCUGUUCGCCCAUUAAAGCGGCACGCGAGCUGGGUUUAGAACGUCGUGAGACAGUUCGGUCUCUAUCCGCCGCGCGCGUUGAAACUUGAAGGAAGGCUGUCCCUAGUACGAGAGGACCGGGACGGACGUACCUCUGGUGUGCCAGUUGUUCCGCCAGGAGCAGGGCUGGUUGGCUACGUACGGGAGGGAUAACCGCUGAAAGCAUCUAAGCGGGAAGCCUGUUUCGAGAUGAGGUUUCUUUUGAGGUUCCCUAGAGAUUAUGGGGUUGAUAGGCCAGAUCUGGAAGCACUGUGAGGUGUGGAGGUGACUGGUACUAAUUUACCGAUAGCAACAAACCAGUAUG
rnacentral:rRNA from 1 species